CUGGGAGGACCAUCUCCUAAGGCUAAAUACUCUCUAGUGACCGAUAGUGAACCAGUACCGUGAGGGAAAGGUGAAAAGCACCCCGGAAGGGGAGUGAAAUAGAACCUGAAACCGUGUGCUUACAAGUAGUCAGAGCCCGUUAAUGGGUGAUGGCGUGCCUUUUGUAGAAUGAACCGGCGAGUUACGAUUUGAUGCAAGGUUAAGCAGUAAAUGUGGAGCCGUAGCGAAAGCGAGUCUGAAUAGGGCGUUUAGUAUUUGGUCGUAGACCCGAAACCAGGUGAUCUACCCUUGGUCAGGUUGAAGUUCAGGUAACACUGAAUGGAGGACCGAACCGACUUACGUUGAAAAGUGAGCGGAUGAACUGAGGGUAGCGGAGAAAUUCCAAUCGAACCUGGAGAUAGCUGGUUCUCUCCGAAAUAGCUUUAGGGCUAGCCUCAAGUGAUGAUUAUUGGAGGUAGAGCACUGUUUGGACGAGGGGCCCCUCUCGGGUUACCGAAUUCAGACAAACUCCGAAUGCCAAUUAAUUUAACUUGGGAGUCAGAACAUGGGUGAUAAGGUCCGUGUUCGAAAGGGAAACAGCCCAGACCACCAGCUAAGGUCCCAAAAUAUAUGUUAAGUGGAAAAGGAUGUGGCGUUGCCCAGACAACUAGGAUGUUGGCUUAGAAGCAGCCAU
rnacentral:rRNA from 1 species